UACAAAUGCUUACUGAGGUCAUAUAUAACAUCAUGGAUAAAACAUAGUUACAAUAGUUUCUUGCUUUUGUCUUUGUGCUGGCGAUGGCUUUACUAAACUUAUAUCGUUUAUUUUAUUCGACCUUGCUUUAUUCAUUGGCUUUGAUACUUUAUAGACAACAAUCAUAGGCUAGAAAGGAAGUGUGCUAGAAUUAUGUUGUAGGCCGUAAGUACAAUAUGUGGAUGGAUCAAGAACUAUAUAUAAAAUGUUGCAUUUCUUUCUGCUUGGUCAGCCUGUAAGUUGAUGAAGAAAACUUUGGCCUCAUUAAUAAUGUGUAAACUUGUUGGGCGGCAGACUUUUGUCAGGCGGUGGCGGGAAAUCCUAGCGCAUGCAAUUGCAUGGCCUGUUGUAGCCAACAACAGCUGCAGCCUGUGGACAUGGGGCCUCCUCUUUUCUCUGCCUCCAGCACUCUGGUUUUCAAUUGCUAACAGAUGUUUUUCUAAACACGAUAACACGAUGUGUGCAGGUUUGAGGAAGAAGAGAAGAAGGAAGUAUCAAGAAGACCAAGAUGGGGCAUUUCGUGAUGAGUUGGAAAUUGGAGGUUGGGGUACAAUUGCCGAGGACUCAACGGGUUAUUAGGUUUUUGUUGCAGUGGAAUGGUCAACUCACUUGUGCAUUACAGACGACACUUGUGCAUGCAAUUCAAUUCCAUUUACUGAACAAUAUUGUAUUAGUCAGGCUAUUUUUUUCUAUAGACUGAUUCUCAAGCGGGCAAUGGAUGAUCUCUCAAGGUUGGGAGUGCUCAUUCUUCAAGCCAAGUUCUUGUUGAAUUUCUCUUUUAUCAAACAUAGCUUUCAAUAUGUCUUAUGAGACUGUCACAAGUCAGCUCAUGCUCUGGAGGCAUUACAUGUGGGAGGUUGUCCUGGCAAUCAUAAUGUAUGGGUUACAAUUUUUCCUUGCGAUGCACACUGUUUGUUGCCAAUGAUCUGGCAGUGCCAUAAGGGAGUACAUGUGUUUUAUCUGUAAAUAUAAGAUAUAAGUUUAUAUGAACCGAAUAGAGUAAACUAUUCAGUGUGCAAACACAAAGUAUUCCUUAGUACAAA